GACGAACGCUGGCGGCGUGCCUAAUACAUGCAAGUAGAACGCUGGAGGAGGAGCUUGCUUUCCUGGAUGUGUUGCGAACGGGUGAGUAACGCGCAUGUAACCUGCCUGUUAGCGGGGGAUAACUAUUGGAAACGAUAGCUAAUACCGCAUAAUAUUUACUAUUGCAUGAUAUUCAGUAGAAAGGUGCAACUGCACCACUACCAGUUGGACCUUCGUUGUAUUAGCUAGUUGGUGGUGUAACGGCGCACCAAGGCGACGAUGCAUAGCCGACCUGAGGAGGGGGACGGGCACACUGGGAAUGGGACCACGGCCAAGAUCCCACGGGGAGCAGCAGUAGGGGAUCCUCGGGAAUGGUGCGAAGUCUGGACGAACAAAAGCGCGUGGGUGAAUGAGGUUUUCGGAUCCUAAAACUCUGUUGUAAGGGAAGGACGAGAGUGAUAGGGGAAUGCUCACACUGUGACGGUAUCUUACCAGAAAGGGACGGCUAACUACGUG
rnacentral:rRNA from 1 species